rnacentral:rRNA from 1 species
AUGUGCGCCGGCGCGUGGGUGGUCGUGGUGGAGGCGGCCGCCGCCUUCGUCCUCCACCUCCUCCUAACACGCACGCUCGCCGCGGGGUGGCGGUGGGGCCAUGCUCCUUGCCCUCGCGCACCCGUACUCGCACUCGGCAGCGGGGCCAUCCUUGUGGAGCACGCGCCGGCGGUGACGCUCUUCGGGCACCCCCGCAGCCGGCUGAGCCUGGCCAUCCAUGAGGACACGCGGACGCCGAUGGCAUUCCUCAUCGAGAUGCCCAUGCUGGCGGCGGCGCUGCACAGGGGAUGGCCACGGGACCUUGAAGCUGGCGCCGGAGAGCGACAGCCGCAGCGUGCGGCGAUGGCUCCUGUCCAACGACGAGCGGCACGUGCUGCGGCUGCUGCGCGGCGUCUUCAUGGGCGCCGGGGUGCCGCCGCCGCCGCCUGCUGA